rnacentral:tRNA from 1 species
CGGCUGGUGGCUGGCGGGUUGCGCCAGGGCGAUGCUGGCGCUCGCGCGCCAACAUGCGCUGGACCGUGUCCAGUUCGGUCGGCC